CCAAUAGCGUAUAUUAAAGUUGUUGCAGUUAAAAAGCUCGUAGUUGAAUUUCGGAAUCUGUCCGUUGGUCGGGCUUUAUUGUCCGUACUGAUGUGAUGGGUUCUUACCUUCUGAAUAACCAGCAUGUCAUUAAUUUGGUGUGUUGGGGAAGCAGGACUAUUACCUUGAAAAAAUUAGAGUGCUCAAAGCAGGCUAGUGCCUGAAUACAUUAGCAUGGAAUAAUAAAAUAGGACGGCAUGGUUCUAUUUUGUUGGUUUCUAGGAUCACCGUAAUGAUUAAUAGGGAUAGUUGGGGGCAUUAGUAUUCAAUUGUCAGAGGUGAAAUUCUUGGAUUUAUUGAAGACUAACUUCUGCGAAAGCAUUUGCCAAGGAUGUUUUCAUUAAUCAAGAACGAAAGUUAGGGGAUCGAAGACGAUCAGAUACCGUCGUAGUCUUAACCAUAAACUAUGCCGACUAGGGAUCGGACGAUGUUAAUUUUUUAAUGACUCGUUCGGCGCCUUACG
rnacentral:rRNA from 1 species